AUUGAACGCUGGCGGCAUGCCUUACACAUGCAAGUCGAACGGCAGCACGGGUGCUUGCACCUGGUGGCGAGUGGCGAACGGGUGAGUAAUAUAUCGGAACGUACCUUAUUGUGGGGGAUAACGCAGCGAAAGCUGUGCUAAUACCGCAUAAUCCCUAACGGGGAAAGCGGGGGACCGUAAUGCCUCGCGCAAUUAGAGCGGCCGAUACCUGAUUAGCUAGUUGGUGAGGUAAAGGCUCACCAAGGCAACGAUCAGUAGCUGGUCUGAGAGGACGAUCAGCCACACUGGGACUGAGACACGGCCCAGACUCCUACGGGAGGCAGCAGUGGGGAAUUUUGGACAAUGGGGGCAACCCUGAUCCAGCAAUGCCGCGUGAGUGAAGAAGGCCUUCGGGUUGUAAAGCUCUUUUGUCAGGGAAGAAACAGCAGCUCUAACACAGUAUGCGAAUGACGGUACCUGAAGAAUAAGCACCGGCUAACUACGUGCCAGCCGCCGCCGUAA
rnacentral:rRNA from 1 species